rnacentral:rRNA from 1 species
GAGCGUUAAUCGGAAUUACUGGGCGUAAAGCGUGCGCAGGCGGUUUUGUAAGCCAGGUGUGAAAUCCCCGGGCUCAACCUGGGAAUGGCAUUUGGGACUGCAAGGCUGGAGUGCGGCAGAGGAGACUGGAAUUCCUGGUGUAGCAGUGAAAUGCGCAGAUAUCAGGAGGAACACCGAUGGCGAAGGCAGGUCUCUGGGCCACUACUGACGCUGAGAAGCGAAAGCAUGGGGAGCGAACAGG